rnacentral:sRNA from 1 species
AGCGCCUACUUGAGCUGAGGAGCCGCCGCGUCCCCUCGCCGAGUCCCCUCGCCAGAUUCCCUCCGUCGCCGCCAAGAUGAUGUGCGGGGCGCCCUCCGCCACGCAGCCGGCCACCGCCGAGACCCAGCACAUCGCCGACCAGGUGGGUGGGCCGCGGGGACGGGGCCGGCCCGGAGUCCUGCCUUAGCCUCAGGGCGCGGCCGCGGCUCCUGGAGCGAAAGAAGCCGCUUCGGCCCCGCUGCGCACCCCUGGGCGGGCGGGCUUGGCCGUGGACCCUCGGGCUGGCCCGGGCUGUGGCCGUGAGAGGCCUCCCUCCGCUCGGGCGCUGCGCGCGAGUGUGCAGCGGGGGGCCGCGCCUGGGGCGCCGCUGGGGAGACAUUGGGCUCCGCUGAAUACAGCAAGGGCGAGUGGGAAUUGAUAGGCCGGAGCAGGGUGCGGUCCCUGCAUGGACAAUCUCUGAGAGGAAACCCCAGGGCGCUUCUGGUUUCAGGCAGGCAGGGUGAUCGGGCGUCGCCGGCGAUGGCGCAGGUGAGCAGCCGGCUCCAAUCUCCACGGUGAUCCGAUAGCAAGCGGGUGGGAAGGGUCUGGCUAAACUAACUUAGCCAGGCUUCUUGCUAAAAGUGGAUUUUACAAGGAAGUGCGCAGGUGGCCUAGGCGCUUCAGGAGCCCGACUACAGUUUGGCCAAGCAAGAAUCUUUGUCAAUAUCCUCAUCUAGUUCAGGAAAAAAAUCAUGAGAGAGAGUGCAAGAGGUCCCCAGUGAUAAGGCACAUGGGUUAAAAACUUAAGUGUAUCUGCAUAAAAGUCCACAGGUUUCUUUACAUGCUUCCGAUUCUAGCACUGUUUCAAACUGUAAGUCUAAAUAAAAAGUUAAAACACAGAAAAACAAGAUAAAAACAGGGCUGGGUUGCAGAUGGCAACCUUCCCUGUGUCUCGGUUUCCUCGUCUGUAAAAUGGACGUCCUGUUGCUCUGCCUGCCAGAAGAUUCUGGAGGGGCUGAAAUGAGCAGGUCAUCUGUGCAAGAAGCCCCCUCCGGUGGAGCACAGGCCAGGCCCGCCUCGCUGUCAUGGUUGGUGACCGACGGGAUGCCCCAAGCAAGAACAGGUCCAGGCGAUGCUGAGGCCUGUGUUUUUUGUUUUUUGUUUUUGAGACGCAGUCUCACUCUUGCCCAGGGUGGAGUGCAGUGGCACAAUCUCGGCCCACUGCAACCUCCGCUUCCCAGGUUCAAGGGAUUCUCCUGCCUUAGCCUCCCGAGUAGCUGGGAUUGCAGGUGCUCGCCACCACGCCCAGCUAAUUUUUGUAUUUUUAGUAGAAACUAAAUGUAGAAAUGGUUUUGCCAUUUGGCUAGGCUGGUCUCAAACUCCUGACCUCAAGUGAUCCGCCCACCUCAGCCUCCCAAAGUUCUGGGAUUACAUCCUUGAGCCACCGUACCCAGCUGGAACUGUUUUUUUCUACUUUAUUAUUAGGCUAACAGUUUAAAUGUCCCUUCAGUUGUAAGAGACAAUUGUGUGAAGAGCCAGUGUCAGAAUCGUGUGUGUGCGCACAUGCGUGCAAGUUACUCUAGCAGGAGGGAAUCCAAGAAGCCACUGAGACAUCCUCAUUCUGUCCCUUCUGUUUAGGUGAGGUCCCAGCUUGAAGAGAAAGAAAACAAGAAGUUCCCUGUGUUUAAGGCCGUGUCAUUCAAGAGCCAGGUGGUCGCGGGGACAAACUACUUUAUCAAGGUAGAGUGUGGGCCUCGGGAGGGCCUGCCCCGAACGGGUGCUGGUAGGAAACCGCCUGUGCAGGCCCGGGCUGUGUGGUCUUAGGUGCUGGGGCGCCCUGUGGCUGCCCCCUGAGAUAAGCAUCCUACUGUGUGUGUCCAUCGGCCUUUCAGGAGGACUAGGGCUUCUGGGGAGCUAAGAACCCCAAGGAAACAAGUGUGGGAUGUGAGGCAUCCCCUGCACAUGCAGGAGAAGACAAGAUUGUCUUCAGCUGGCUGCUAAUGACCUGGAGGGGCGCAGCAAGGUGACUUGGGAUCAGAGGCUUCGCUCACUCCGCUCUCUUCCCAGGUGCACGUCGGCGACGAGGAGUUCGUACACCUGCGAGUGUUCCAAUCUCUCCCUCAUGAAAACAAGCCCUUGACCUUAUCUAACUACCAGACCAACAAAGCCAAGCAUGAUGAGCUGACCUAUUUCUGAUCCCGACUUUGGACAAGGCCCUUCAGCCAGAAGACUGACAAAGUCAUCCUCCGUCUACCAGAGCGUGCACUUGCGAUCCUAAAAUAAGCUUCACCUCCGGGCUGUGCCCCUUGGGGUGGAAGGGGCGGGAUUCUGCACCUGCUUUUGCAUUUCUCUUCCUAAAUUUCAUUGUGUUGAUUUCUUUCCUUCCCAACAGGUGA